AUGCAAAAAACCAUAAGUUUUAUCGUUGAAACUUUAAGUUUUUCAAGGGAUUUUCUUGUUGAAAUCAAUUAUUCCCAUUUUCUCGUUCUUUCGGUCCUCUGCUCGGUUCCUAUACAUGCAAUGCUAGUGCUUGCUCUUCCGAUGAAGACCAUCCAUGCCAUGAACAAGAUCAUCCGAGGAUUCUUGUGGUGCGGCAAAGCCCAAGAAAAUGGUGGAAACUGCUCUGUUGCAUGGGAGACAAUCUGCACGCCCAAAUGGGCAGGUGGUUUGGGCAUACCCGACCUUGCAUGGUUGAAUGUGGCCUUGGAGGCAAGAUAG
rnacentral:rRNA from 1 species